rnacentral:rRNA from 1 species
AUUGAACGCUGGCGGCAGGCUUAACACAUGCAAGUCGAGCGGUAGCACAGGGGAGCUUGCUCCCUGGGUGACGAGCGGCGGACGGGUGAGUAAUGUCUGGGAAACUGCCUGAUGGAGGGGGAUAACUACUGGAAACGGUAGCUAAUACCGCAUAACGUCGCAAGACCAAAGAGGGGGACCUUCGGGCCUCUUGCCAUCAGAUGUGCCCAGAUGGGAUUAGCCAGUAGGUGGGGUAAUGGCUCACCUAGGCGACGAUCCCUAGCUGGUCUGAGAGGAUGACCAGCCACACUGGAACUGAGACACGGUCCAGACUCCUACGGGAGGCAGCAGUGGGGAAUAUUGCACAAUGGGCGCAAGCCUGAUGCAGCCAUGCCGCGUGUGUGAAGAAGGCCUUCGGGUUGUAAAGCACUUUCAGCGAGGAGGAAGGUGGUGAGCUUAAUACGUUCAUCAAUUGACGUUACUCGCAGAAGAAGCACCGGCUAACUCCGUG